UACGUAGGGUGCAAGCGUUAAUCGGAAUUACUGGGCGUAAAGCGUGCGCAGGCGGUUUUGUAAGUCAGAUGUGAAAGCCCCGGGCCCAACCUGGGAAUUGCGAUGAAGACUGCAAGGCUUGAAUCUGGCAGAGGGGGGUAGAAUUCCACGUGUAGCAGUGAAAUGCGUAGAGAUGUGGAGGAACACCGAUGGCGAAGGCAGCCCCCUGGGUCAAGAUUGACGCUCAUGCACGAAAGCGUGGGGAGCAAACAGG
rnacentral:rRNA from 1 species